UACGGAUGGGGCAAGCGUUGUUCGGAAUCAUUGGGCGUAAAGGGCGCGUAGGUGGUUCUGUAUGUCUACCGUGAAAGCAUACGGCUCAACUGUAUUUUGUCGGUAGAAACUGCAGGACUUGAGGCUGGGAGGGGCUGGUGGAAUUCCCUGUGUAGCGGUGAAAUGCGUAGAGAUGGGGGAGAACACUCGUGGCGAAGGCGGCCAGCUAGACCAGUUCUGACACUGAGGCGCGACAGCGUGGGGAGCGAACCGG
rnacentral:rRNA from 1 species